AACGAACGCUGGCGGCAGGCUUAACACAUGCAAGUCGAGCGCAUCCUUCGGGGUGAGCGGCAGACGGGUGAGUAACACGUGGGGAUCUGCCCGAUGGUACGGAAUAACUUAGGGAAACUUGUGCUAAUACCGUAUGUGCCCGCAAGGGGAAAGAUUUAUCGCCAUCGGAUGAACCCGCGUCAGAUUAGCUAGUUGGUGUGGUAAAGGCGCACCAAGGCGACGAUCUGUAGCUGGUCUGAGAGGAUGAUCAGCCACACUGGGACUGAGACACGGCCCAGACUCCUACGGGAGGCAGCAGUGGGGAAUAUUGGACAAUGGGCGCAAGCCUGAUCCAGCCAUGCCGCGUGAGUGAUGAAGGCCUUAGGGUUGUAAAGCUCUUUCGCCGACGAAGAUAAUGACGGUAGUCGGAGAAGAAGCCCCGGCUAACUUCGUGCCAGCCGCCGCCGUAAGAC
rnacentral:rRNA from 1 species